ensembl:misc_RNA 7SK 7SK RNA
GGAUGUGAGGGCGAUCUGGCUGCAACAUCUGUCACCCCACUGAUCACCAGGGUUGAUUCGGCUGAUCUGGCUGGCUAGGCAGGUGUCCCCUUCCUCCCUCACUGCUCCAUGUGCGUUCCUUCCGAAAGCUGCGCGCUUGGUCAAAGAGGACAACCAUCCCCAAUAGAGGAGGACCAUUUUUCAGUCAAGGGUAUACGAGUAGCUGUGCUCCCCUGCUAGAACCUCCAAACAAGCUCUCAAGGUCCUUAAUUUUUUCAGCUUUCUAAAGUAUCACAUUGUAGAAUCCUCCUACUAAGGCAGUCCCCGAUAGGGCUGUUCUCCUCUUUA